CCUACGGGAGGCUGCAGUGGGGAAUUUUGGACAAUGGGGGCAACCCUGAUCCAGCCAUGCCGCGUGAGUGAAGAAGGCCUUCGGGUUGUAAAGCUCUUUUGUCGGGGAGGAAAUCGCGUUGGCUAAUAUCCAACGUGGAUGACAGUACCUGAAGAAUAAGCACCGGCUAACUACGUGCCAGCAGCCGCGGUAAUACGUAGGGUGCAAGCGUUAAUCGGAAUUACUGGGCGUAAAGCGUGCGCAGGCGGUUUUUUAAGCUUGAUGUGAAAUCCCCGGGCUCAACCUGGGAACUGCAUUGAGGACUGGAAGGCUAGAGUACGGCAGAGGGGGGUGGAAUUCCACGUGUAGCAGUGAAAUGCGUAGAGAUGUGGAGGAACACCGAUGGCGAAGGCAGCCCCCUGGGCCUGUACUGACGCUCAUGCACGAAAGCGUGGGGAGCA
rnacentral:rRNA from 1 species